CCCCAAAGAGACCCCAAAAGGGACUCCAAAGGGGACCCCAAAGGGGACACCAAAGGGACCCCAAAAGGGACCCCAAAAGGGACCCCAAAGAGAGCCCAAAAGGGACACCAAAAGGGACCCCAAAGGGGACCCCAAAGGGGACACCAAAAUGACCCCAUAGGGACCCAAAAAUGACCCUACAGAUACCCCAAAAUGACCUUAUAGAGACCCCAAAACGACUCCAUAGGAACCCCAAAGCAAAGUGACCCCAUAGGGACCCCAAAAUGACCCCAUAAGGACUCCAAAGUGACCCCACAGGGACCCUAAAAUGACCUCAGAGACCCCAAAAUGUCCCCAUAGGGACCCCAAAGCAAAGCGAUCCCAUAGGGACCCCAAAAGAACCCCACAGAGGCCCCAAAAUGACCCCAUAGAGACCCAAAAAUGACCCCAUAGGGACCCUAAAACGACCCCAUAGAGACCCCAAAGCAAAGCGACCCCAUAGGGACCCCAAAAUGACCCCACAGGGACCCCAAAAUGGCCUCAGAGACCCCAAAAUGACCCCAUAGGGACCCCAAAGCAAAGCGACCCCACAGAGGCCCCAAAAUGACCCCAUAGGGACCCCAAAAUGACCCCAUAGGGACCCUAAAGUGACCCCAUAGAGACCCCAAAGCAAAGCAAACCCAUAGGGACCCCAAAAUAACCCCAUACGGACCCCAAAAUGACCCCACAGGGACCCCAAAAUGGCCUCAGAGACCCCCAAAUGACCCCAUAGGGACCCUAAAAUGACCCCAUAGGGACCCCAAAGCAAAGCAACCCCAUAGGGACCCCAAAAUAACCCCACAGAGGCCCCAAAAUGACCCCAUAGAGACCCCAAAGCAAAGCAACCCCAUAGGGACCCCAAAAUGACCCCAUAGGGACCCUAAAAUGGCCUCAAAGAGACCCCAAAAUGACCCCACAGAGGCCCCAAAAUGACCCCACAGAGGCCCCAAAGCAAAGUGACCCCAUAGGGACCCCAAAAUAACCCCAUAGGGACCCUAAAAUGACCCCACAGGGACCCCAAAAUGGCCCCAUAGGGACCCCAAAGUGACCCCACAGAGGCCCCAAAGUGACCCCAUAGGGACCCAAAAGCAAAGCAGCCCCAUAGGGACCCCAAAAUAACCCCAAAAUGACCCCAUAGAGACCCCGAAACGACCCCAUAGAGACCCCAAAGCAAAACGACCCCAUAGGGACCCCAAAGUGACCCCACAGAGGCCCCAAAAUGACCCCAUAGGGACCCCAAAAUGACCUCAGAGACCCCAAAAUGACCCCAUAGGGACCCCAAAGAAAAGCGACCCCAUAGGGACCCCACAAUAACCCCAUAUGGACCCCAAAAUGACCCCAAAAUGACCCCAUGGGGACCCCCCUGACCCCAUAACCCCCCCCGAGACCCCAUAAUCCCCC
rnacentral:lncRNA from 1 species